GAAAAAUUAGCGGAUGACUUGUGGCUAGGGGUGAAAGGCCAAUCAAACUCGGAGAUAGCUGGUUCUCCCCGAAAGCUAUUUAGGUAGCGCCUCGGACGAAUACUACUGGGGGUAGAGCACUGUUAAGGCUAGGGGGUCAUCCCGACUUACCAACCCUUUGCAAACUCCGAAUACCAGUAAGUACUAUCCGGGAGACACACGGCGGGUGCUAACGUCCGUCGUGGAGAGGGAAACAACCCAGACCGCCAGCUAAGGUCCCAAAGUAUUGCUAAGUGGGAAACGAUGUGGGAAGGCUCAGACAGCUAGGAUGUUGGCUUAGAAGCAGCCAUCAUUUAAAGAAAGCGUAAUAGCUCACUAGUCGAGUCGGCCUGCGCGGAAGAUGUAACGGGGCUAAGCA
rnacentral:rRNA from 1 species